AGUGAACGCUGGCGGUAGGCCUAACACAUGCAAGUCGAACGGCAGCACAGUAAGAGCUUGCUCUUACGGGUGGCGAGUGGCGGACGGGUGAGGAAUACAUCGGAAUCUACUUUUUCGUGGGGGAUAACGUAGGGAAACUUACGCUAAUACCGCAUACGACCUACGGGUGAAAGCAGGGGAUCUUCGGACCUUGCGCGAUUGAAUGAGCCGAUGUCGGAUUAGCUAGUUGGCGGGGUAAAGGCCCACCAAGGCGACGAUCCGUAGCUGGUCUGAGAGGAUGAUCAGCCACACUGGAACUGAGACACGGGCCAGACUCCUACGGGAGGCAGCAGUGGGGAAUAUUGGACAGUGGGCGCAAGCCUGAUCCAGCAUACCGCGUGGGUGAAGAAGGCCUUCGGGUUGUAAAGCCCUUUUGUUGGGAAAGAAAAGCAGCAGGUUAAUACCCCGCUGUUCUGACGGUACCCAAAGAGUAAGCACCGGCUAACUUCGUG
rnacentral:rRNA from 1 species